CUUUUGAUAAUUUUUUAAGGUUGGCCCUGCCCAAUGAGUAGUUGAAUGGCCGCAGUAUUUUGACUGUGCAAAGGUAGCAUAAUCAUUAGUUUUUUAAUUGAAAGCUAGAAUGAAGGGGUUAAUAAGAAAAUAACUGUCUCUAUUUUAUUUUUAGAAUUUUAUUUUUAAGUAAAAAAGCUUAAAUGAUAUUUAAAGACGAUAAGACCCUAUAGAGCUUUAUAUUAAUAUUUUAAUAAUUAAGAAGAAUUAAUAUUGUUAUUUAAAUUUUAAUAUUUUAUUGGGGUGAUAGAAAAAUUUAAUUAACUUUUUUUUGUUAUUACAUAAAUAUAUGAUUUUUUGAUCCAUUAAUUAUGAUUAAAAGAAUAAGUUACCUUAGGGAUAACAGCGUAAUUUUUUUUUAGAGUUCAAAUCGAAAAAAGAGUUUGCGACCUCGAUGUUGGAUUAAAAUUAAUUUUUGGAGUAGAAGUUAAA
rnacentral:rRNA from 1 species